GUAACACGUGGGCAAUCUGCCCUGCACUCUGGGACAAGCCCUGGAAACGGGGUCUAAUACCGGAUAUGACUGUCCAUCGCAUGGUGGAUGGUGUAAAGCUCCGGCGGUGCAGGAUGAGCCCGCGGCCUAUCAGCUUGUUGGUGAGGUAGUGGCUCACCAAGGCGACGACGGGUAGCCGGCCUGAGAGGGCGACCGGCCACACUGGGACUGAGACACGGCCCAGACUCCUACGGGAGGCAGCAGUGGGGAAUAUUGCACAAUGGGCGAAAGCCUGAUGCAGCGACGCCGCGUGAGGGAUGACGGCCUUCGGGUUGUAAACCUCUUUCAGCAGGGAAGAAGCGAAAGUGACGGUACCUGCAGAAGAAGCGCCGGCUAACUACGUGCCAGCAGCCGCGGUAAUACGUAGGGCGCAAGCGUUGUCCGGAAUUAUUGGGCGUAAAG
rnacentral:rRNA from 1 species